rnacentral:rRNA from 2 species
CCGAAAAUGUACCGGGGCUAAACAUAUUACCGAAGCUGUGGAUUGUCCUUUGGACAAUGGUAGGAGAGCGUUCUAAGGGCGUUGAAGCAUGAUCGCAAGGACAUGUGGAGCGCUUAGAAGUGAGAAUGCCGGUGUGAGUAGCGAAAGAUGGGUGAGAAUCCCGUCCACCGAUUGACUAAGGUUUCCAGAGGAAGGCUCGUCCGCUCUGGGUUAGUCGGGUCCUAAGCUGAGGCCGACAGGCGUAGGCGAUGGAUAACAGGUUGAUAUUCCUGUACCACCUAUAAUCGUUUUAAUCGAUGGGGGGGACGCAGUAGGAUAGGCGAAGCGUGCGAUUGGAUUGCACGUCUAAGCAGUAAGGCUGAGUAUUAGGCAAAUCCGGUACUCGUUAAGGCUGAGCUGUGAUGGGGAGAAGACAUUGUGUCUUCGAGUCGUUGAUUUCACACUGCCGAGAAAAGUCUCUAGAUAGAAAAUAGGUGCCCGUACCGCAAACCGACACAGGUAGUCAAGAUGAGAAUUCUAAGGUGAGCGAGCGAACUCUCGUUAAGGAACUCGGCAAAAUGACCCCGUAACUUCGGGAGAAGGGGUGCUCUUUAGGGUUAACGCCCAGAAGAGCCGCAGUGAAUAGGCCCAAGCGACUGUUUAUCAAAAACACAGGUCUCUGCUAAACCGUAAGGUGAUGUAUAGGGGCUGACGCCUGCCCGGUGCUGGAAGGUUAAGAGGAGUGGUUAGCUUCUGCGAAGCUACGAAUCGAAGCCCCAGUAAACGGCGGCCGUAACUAUAACGGUCCUAAGGUAGCGAAAUUCCUUGUCGGGUAAGUUCCGACCCGCACGAAAGGCGUAACGAUUUGGGCACUGUCUCAACGAGAGACUCGGUGAAAUCAUAGUACCUGUGAAGAUGCAGGUUACCCGCGACAGGACGGAAAGACCCCGUGGAGCUUUACUGUAGCCUGAUAUUGAAAUUCGGCACAGCUUGUACAGGAUAGGUAGGAGCCUUUGAAACGUGAGCGCUAGCUUACGUGGAGGCGCUGGUGGGAUACUACCCUAGCUGUGUUGGCUUUCUAACCCGCACCACUUAUCGUGGUGGGAGACAGUGUCAGGCGGGCAGUUUGACUGGGGCGGUCGCCUCCUAAAAGGUAACGGAGGCGCUCAAAGGUUCCCUCAGAAUGGUUGGAAAUCAUUCAUAGAGUGUAAAGGCAUAAGGGAGCUUGACUGCGAGACCUACAAGUCGAGCAGGGUCGAAAGACGGACUUAGUGAUCCGGUGGUUCCGCAUGGAAGGGCCAUCGCUCAACGGAUAAAAGCUACCCCGGGGAUAACAGGCUUAUCUCCCCCAAGAGUUCACAUCGACGGGGAGGUUUGGCACCUCGAUGUCGGCUCAUCGCAUCCUGGGGCUGUAGUCGGUCCCAAGGGUUGGGCUGUUCGCCCAUUAAAGCGGUACGCGAGCUGGGUUCAGAACGUCGUGAGACAGUUCGGUCCCUAUCCGUCGUGGGCGUAGGAAAUUUGAGAGGAGCUGUCCUUAGUACGAGAGGACCGGGAUGGACAUACCUCUGGUGUACCAGUUGUCGUGCCAACGGCAUAGCUGGGUAGCUAUGUGUGGACGGGAUAAGUGCUGAAAGCAUCUAAGCAUGAAGCCCCCCUCAAGAUGAGAUUUCCCAACUUCGGUUAUAAGAUCCCUCAAAGAUGAUGAGGUUAAUAGGUUCGAGGUGGAAGCAUGGUGACAUGUGGAGCUGACGAAUACUAAUCGAUCGAAGACUUAAUCAA